CAGAGGUGACAGGUGGUGCAUGGUUGUCGUCAGCUCGUGUCGUGAGAUGUUGGGUUAAGUCCCGCAACGAGCGCAACCCUUGAUUUUAGUUGCCAGCAGGUAAGGCUGGGCACUCUAGAAUGACUGCCGGUGACAAACCGGAGGAAGGCGGGGAUGACGUCAAAUCAUCAUGCCCCUUAUGACUUGGGCUACACACGUACUACAAUGGCCAGUACAACGGGAAAGCGAAAUCGCGAGAUGGAGCCAAUCCUAUCAAAGCUGGNUCUCAGUUUCGGAUUGCAGGCUGCAACCCGCCUGCAUGAAGUCGGAAUUGCUAGUAAUCGCGGAUCAGCAUGCCGCGGGUGAAUACGUUCCCGGGUCUUGNUACACACCGCCCGUCACACCACGAGAGUUUACAACACCCGAAGUCGGUGGGGUUAACCCNCAAGGGAGCCA
rnacentral:rRNA from 1 species